AGGCUGGGAUAAGUUGCAGUGCUCUAUCUGUAGCCAGUAUUGCACUUGUUCCGUCCUGU
rnacentral:pre_miRNA from 1 species